rnacentral:rRNA from 1 species
CCCCUAGAUGUUCUGGGCCGCACGCGCGCUACACUGAACAGUUCAACAAGUCUUAACCUUGGCCGAUAGGUCUGGGUAAUCUUUGAACGCUGUUCGUGAUUGGGAUAGACCUUUGCAAUUAUGGGUCUUCAACGAGGAAUUCCUAGUAAACGCAAGUCAUCAGCUUGCAUUGAUUACGUCCCUGCCCUUUGUACACACCGCCCGUCGCACCUACCGAUUGAAUGGUCCGGUGAAGCCUCGGGAAUGUGACCAGUUCGCUUCAUUGUGAGUUGGUUGCGUGAACUUGUCUAAACCUUAUCAUUUAGAGGAAGGUGAAGUCGUAACA